CUCUAACAGUGCAAAGAGCAGAGACAACCUGGUAUCACUAAAACUUCUGGUACUGGUUAUGCUCCUAAGUCAGGAACUAGAGUCCUUAACAUUAUUAAUGGAGAGAGACAGAGAUGCUUUUGCUAUUGAGAAGGUGAUUUAUAGGAGGAGCUUAAUUUAG